rnacentral:sRNA from 1 species
UGCGGUUUGAUACAAACUUAUCUGAAGCAGUGAUUGUAAUAUUUCUCAUCAUUUGUCACUCUUGAGAACUCCUUUAGGUUUUUUCUCUCUGAUAAUUUUUUCAGGCCAUUCUGCCCAAGAGCUAAUUAAAAAGGUAACAAUAUUAUGACGACGAAAAUUACUGGUUUAGUAAAAUGGUUUAAUCCUGAAAAGGGCUUUGGUUUCAUUACACCUAAAGAUGGCAGUAAAGAUGUGUUUGUACAUUUUUCUGCAAUCCAAAGUAAUGAUUUCCGCACGCUUAAUGAAAAUCAGGAAGUUGAAUUUUCAGUAGAGCAGGGGCCAAAAGGUCCAUCAGCAGUUGACGUUGUGGCGCUUUAAGGCAACU